rnacentral:rRNA from 1 species
AUUGAACGCUGGCGGCAUGCCUAACACAUGCAAGUCGAGCGAGCGGCGGACGGGUGAGGAAUGUCUGGGAAACUGCCUGAUGGAGGGGGAUAACUACUGGAAACGGUAGCUAAUAACGCAUACCAUCAGAUGUGCCCAGCUGGGAUUAGCUAGUAGGUGGGGUAACGGCUCACCGAGUCGACGAUCCCUAGCUGGUCUGGGAGGAUGACCAGCCACACUGGAACUGGGACACGGUCCAGACUCCUACGGGAGGCAGCAGUGGAGAAUAUUGCGCAAUGGGCGCAAGCCUGAUGCAGCCAUGCCGCGUGUGUGAAGAAGGCCUUCGGGUUGUAAAGCACUUUCAGCGGGGAGGCGUUACCCGCAGAAGAAGCACCGGCUAACUCCGUGCCAGCAGCCGCGGUAAUAC